AGCGAACGCUGGCGGCAGGCUUAACACAUGCAAGUCGAGCGGGCAUCCUUGUGGUGUCAGCGGCAGACGGGUGAGUAACGCGUGGGAACGUGCCCUUCGGUUCGGAAUAACUCAGGGAAACUUGAGCUAAUACCGGAUACGUGCGAGAGCAGAAAGGUUUAUCUGCCGAAGGAUCGGCCCGCGUCUGAUUAGCUAGUUGGUGAGGUUAUGGCUCACCAAGGCGACGAUCAGUAGCUGGUCUGAGAGGAUGAUCAGCCACACUGGGACUGAGACACGGCCCAGACGCCUACGGGAGGCAGCAGUGGGGAAUAUAGGAGAAGGGGGCAAACCUGAUCCAGCCAUGCCGCGUGAGUGAUGACGGCCUUAGGGUUGUAAAGCUCUUUUCGCCGGGACGAUAAUGACGGUACCGGAGGAAUAAGCACCGGCUAACUUCGUG
rnacentral:rRNA from 1 species